AUUGAACGCUGGCGGCAUGCCUUACACAUGUAAGUCGAACGGCAGCACGGGAGCAAUCCUGGUGGCGAGUGGCGAACGGGUGAGUAAUAUAUCGGAACGUGCCCAGUAGUGGGGGAUAGCCCGGCGAAAGCCGGAUUAAUACCGCAUGAGACCUGAGGGUGAAAGCGGGGGAUCGCAAGACCUCGCGCUAUUGGAGCGGCCGAUAUCAGAUUAGCUAGUUGGUGGGGUAAAGGCCUACCAAGGCAACGAUCUGUAGUUGGUCUGAGAGGACGACCAGCCACACUGGGACUGAGACACGGCCCAGACUCCUACGGGAGGCAGCAGUGGGGAAUUUUGGACAAUGGGCGCAAGCCUGAUCCAGCAAUGCCGCGUGCA
rnacentral:rRNA from 1 species